CUGAAAACAGAUCCCCGCCCUUCCCGCCAGGAGCAUCUGGGGCCACGACACAGUGUUUCCCUCUACUCCACCUCACACCUGGGUUAACACCUGGGCCGAUGUCAUUUUUCCACCUUUCAGGUUUACGGUUGUCCCUUCAGUGGAAUCAAAACCACAGAUUUACUCAACGCUGUGGCUCUGGACCAGACAGUGUCCUUGAGCAACAUGGUUCUUCUAUGCUUCCCCCCACCCUUAGCUACCACCUGAAGAUCUGAGCCGGUGGAGAGAACGUGGCUUCUUGGGAGAGAGGCAGAGGCGUGCUGAAAACCCACUGCAGCUGCUCUCCACACCUGGGAUACAUCUCAUCAGGACCUAAUGCGUCAGCUGUCCCAAAACAAGGCGAGAGUCCCUUCCUCGCCCAAGGAAAGCUUCACAGGUGAGGGCAGAGGUUCCUGAAGAGCAAAGUGGGUUCUGGCUGAGGCUGAGUCAGUGAUCAGCUUGGCUGGCCUUUGGCUCUGUCCACCUUGCUUGCUCUGGGGAGGUGCACGGCGUGAAUGGAGAUGCAGAAAUGCUUCGUGAUUCCUGUAUUCCAAGAAGAAAGGUGGUCUGCAGGGUCAUUCUACAACCUCCUUUUGCACAGUCAUCACAAUGCCCUACCAAGCCAAAAAUCCUGUGAGAUCCUUCCUCCAGAAUCAGAGACCAUUUCUCCAGCAAGCUUUUCAACAGGAUUUUAACUCUUCUGUCAGCUGGCAAAAACACUGAACCAGCAGAUUGAAAACACACAGUGGCUCAUCACAGAGGACUCUGUAGGAUUAAGAACUUGGUCGACUGAGUCACUGAUCAGAUUCUGGGCUAAUGCGACAGCAUGUCAGCUGGAGCUGCCCAUUCCGCUACCAGCGGGGCAGUGCUGGCUGGAGUCCUCAUCAUUCCAGUGUGGAGAUGCCCGAAGCCCUCCCUUGGUUGUCCCCCUAUUGUGUGAGGCUGCCCUUCUCACAGCCUCUUCCUCUGGAGUCCCUGUCCUGCAGGGGUGGGAUCUGGACCACAGAGAUGCCUUUCAAACACUGCGGUCACAACAAGCAUGCAUGAAUUCAACUGCCCUAACUGAAGAUUUAGGGAUCCCAGGAAGAAGAUUUGGGGGCCACAGGGAGGUGAGGCCCAGCCUGGAAACUUCCUCUCCUGCUUCUUUAUCCUUGUUUCUCCUCACCUUUCCUUCCAGAAUUCCCUAAGAACUUUCCCUUCAGUGCAUGGAAGAAUUUAGCUGGGUUCCAAGACUCAGACUUGCAGAAACCCUAGUAAAUAAGAUGCUUACAGA
rnacentral:lncRNA from 1 species